AUUGAACGCUGGCGGCAGGCCUAACACAUGCAAGUCGAACGGUAACAGGAAGAUGCUUGCUUCUUUGCUGACGAGUGGCGGACGGGUGAGUAAUGUCUGGGAAACUGCCUGAUGGAGGGGGAUAACUACUGGAAACGGUAGCUAAUACCGCAUAACGUCGCAAGACCAAAGAGGGGGACCUUCGGGCCUCUUGCCAUCGGAUGUGCCCAGAUGGGAUUAGCUAGUAGGUGGGGUAACGGCUCACCUAGGCGACGAUCCCUAGCUGGUCUGAGAGGAUGACCAGCCACACUGGAACUGAGACACGGUCCAGACUCCUACGGGAGGCAGCAGUGGGGAAUAUUGCACAAUGGGCGCAAGCAUGAUGCAGCCAUGCCGCGUGUAUGAAGAAGGCCUUCGGGUUGUAAAGUACUUUCAGCGGGGAGGAAGGGAGUAAAGUUAAUACCUUUGCUCAUUGACGUUACCCGCAGAAGAAGCACCGGCUAACUCCGUG
rnacentral:rRNA from 1 species